rnacentral:rRNA from 1 species
UACGUAGGGACCAAGCGUUGUCCGGAAUCAUUGGGCGUAAAGCGCGCGUAGGUGGCUUCGUAAGUCCGUUGUGAAAGUCAAAGGCUCAACCUUUGAAAGCCGAUGGAUACUGCGGAGCUAGAGUACGGAAGAGGCGAGUGGAAUUCCUGGUGUAGCGGUGGAAUGCGCAGAUAUCAGGAGGAACACCAAUAGCGAAGGCAGCUCGCUGGGACGUUACUGACACUAAGGCGCGAAAGCGUGGGGAGCGAACAGG